UAUGUACUCCCUCCGUCCAACAAAGGAUGUCUCAACAUUGACCAAAUUUGAAUGCAUCUACACACUAAGUCAUGUCUAAAUACAUUCAAAUUUUGACAAACUUGAGACAUCUUUUGUUGGACGGAGGAAGUAUCAA
rfam:Brachypodium distachyon strain Bd21 chromosome 1, whole genome shotgun sequence.